GACGAACGCUGGCGGCGUGCUUAACACAUGCAAGUCGAGCGAGGGGCUUCGGCUCCUAGCGGCGAACGGGUGAGUAACACGUGGGCAACCUGCCCCGAGCUCUGGAAUAACUUCGGGAAACCGGGGCUAAUGCCGGAUAUGACACUGCUGGGCAUCUGGUGGUGUGGAAAGAUUUAUCGGCUCGGGAUGGGCCCGCGGCCUAUCAGCUUGUUGGUGGGGUGAUGGCCUACCAAGGCGACGACGGGUAGCCGGCCUGAGAGGGCGACCGGCCACACUGGGACUGAGACACGGCCCAGACUCCUACGGGAGGCAGCAGUGGGGAAUAUUGCGCAAUGGGCGAAAGCCUGACGCAGCGACGCCGCGUGGGGGAUGACGGCC
rnacentral:rRNA from 1 species